UGGACACAACUGUAAGCACAAUUAAGGUAAAAUAGCGGUUUAUGAGGUAGUAAUAUGCAAUUCUAUCGAACAAAUCAAUUGAUGAAUGGACUAAUGCUAUUUGCUAAUGAUGUUGUUUCCUACUUAAUUUACAAGUGUGAAGAUUUCUAAAGGUUUUUGAGAAUUAAAACAUAUUUGCAGUUUAAGGAAUUGAGACAAUUGUUACGGUGGUAGAAUAAAAAUCUUCUAACAUGGAAAAUUAAUACGCUGAAAAAUUCACAGAUCAAAAUUUGUUGAGCCUAAAAAAUUAUUAUUAUUGAAAAAAAGCAUAAAAGGAUUAAUCAAGCAAUUAAAAGGCCACGGUUGAAAUACGAAGCCAACUGAGAAGAGAUUUAUUCGAAAU